rnacentral:lncRNA from 1 species
AAAUUACAGGAUCAAAGUUUAAUAAAAAAAUACAAUAAGGUUAAAACACCUUAUUCUAAUCAAAUAUCAAAUAAAGGAAGUAAACUUCUAUAUAGAUUCCACUUGUGCAGCUCGCAAAUCUCCUAUAUUGCUACUUAUAUUUUAUUUUAACAGAAAUUUGAGUCACGCAACUCUAACACAUUUUAUCUUCACAAAACACAUAUAAUAACACAAAUCAAUCACAUUUCAUAAAGUAGAUAACAUGUAAUAUAAUUCUAAUACAUAUCUUUAAACAUGAAUGCAACUUAACCAUACUUUCUCACCCUUCACCACUUUUAACACCUCAACUUUAAAACCUAGCUUCUCCUUCGCAUUCUCCUUCAAAUCAACACUUCCUUUGAUGAGUAAUAAUCUUCCAGUGACAUAGUUGGUGAGGUCUAUCUAUGGUAUCAUGAAAACCUAAUAGAUUGAUGCAAGGAAAGGAUGGGAUGACAAGUUUUUCUGUACAAUUUCCUCUUGGUCAAAUGAUAAAAGAAGGGUCUUCUAAAAUGCUUGUUGUCACUCUAUCCUCUCUCUUGUCAUGUGAAUGUAAA